GUUCAUCUCUCGGAGUGCCAAAUACAUUUUAGAUGUAGGCUGAGAUAGCACAUUGUUGCUGAUUCCGUAGAACUUGAACUGGAUAAUUCCAGCGUAAGGAAGAGAAUGUAUAUAAUC
rnacentral:ncRNA from 2 species